rnacentral:rRNA from 1 species
UACGAAGGGGACUAGCGUUGUUCGGAAUCACUGGGCGUAAAGCGCACGUAGGCGGAUGUGUCAGUCAGGGGUGAAAUCCCGGGGCUCAACCUCGGAACUGCCUUUGAUACAGCACGUCUCGAGUCCGGAAGAGGUGGGUGGAAUUCCUAGUGUAGAGGUGAAAUUCGUAGAUAUUAGGAAGAACACCGGUGGCGAAGGCGGCCCACUGGUACGGUACUGACGCUGAGGUGCGAAAGCGUGGGGAGCAAACAGG